GUCAUUUGAAAAGCAAUGUGAGGAUAACUGCCUGCUAACCAGCCGCUGUUGUUCUACUGGGUGACUGCAUUUUCUAAGGAGUGGGGGUCCCUCAAGGCAAUAGCAGGGGACAUGGUUACUAAUAAAAUGAACAAUGGCUCUCUCAGUGUGAGAAAGCAUGAAUGACACCAGGACCCUGAAACCGAGGCAGCCAAACAGAAUUCAUCCAGAAAGUGCAACUCAGCACACAAAAGUUUCCCACAUAGCCACUGCUUUUUCCAGUUAAUGCCAGUGCACACUACAAGACUUUUGCACUGAUUUUCCACUCCUAAGCAAACCUGAUUCUGCACCUGCACAGCUAAGCCUUAUUACUCCAGCUGCACGAUCUUGCCAUGACCUGUGAAACUGCUGCCGGGAGCUGUCAUUUUAGCGUCAGAUCAAUGCAGCCCUCAUCCGCCA